rnacentral:lncRNA from 1 species
CCUCAGCACGCCUGGGCAAUGGCGGGCGCCCCUCCCCCAGCCUCACUGCCGCUUUGCAGUUUGAUCUCAGACUGCUGUGCUAGCAAUCAGCGAGACUCCGUGGGCGUAGGACCCCCGCUCCCCACCCCCGAGCCAGGUGUGGGAUAUAAUCUUGUGGUGCACCGUUUUUUAAGCCCGUCGGAAAAGCGCAGUAUUCGGGUGGGAGUGACCCGAUUUUCCAGGUGCCGACCGUCACCCCUUUCUUUGACUAGGAAAGGGAACUGCCUGACCCCUUGCGCUUCCCGAGUGAGGCAAUGCCUCGCCCUGCUUCGGCUCGUGCAUGGUGCGUGCACCCACUGACCUGCGCCCACUGUCUGGCAUUCCCUAGUGAGAUGAACCCGGUACCUCAGAUGGAAAUGCAGAAAUCACCCAUCUUCUGAGUCGCUCACGCUGGGAGCUGUAGACCGGAGCUGUUCCUAUUCGGCCAUCUUGGCUCCUCCCCUGACAUGAAGAGCACAAAAUUUUAAGACAAAAACUGAAAAAAACUUCCAAGUUUACAAAUAUUUUGGAAAUGUAAGGAGAUAGAUAAGAUUCGAAAGUUACAAUUUCUAUUGAAAACGUCAGUGCUCUAAAUUAUGGCACACAAGAUUUGAAUGAAUCAUAGAGUAGCCAAAUCAUGUAUCCAGAUCUUCUGGAAGACCUGUGGCAGUCUAUUGAAGAAGUGAGCAGUAGAAUCCUUGGGAAUGCUAUCAAUUUCUUCUUUCAAAAAUCUCUUUAAACUUUUUGGAUGUUUGGAGAGAAGAUUGGGUCCAAUACAAACUCCUUUGCCAUAUCCAGAAACAGAAGUACUCAGUAUUACAGAUCCUAGAAUAUCUAAAGAAUUCAACUCUGUAAAAAAUAUACCCAGAAAACAGAAAAUAUGUACACUUUGUGUGUGUGUGUGUGUGUGUGUGUGUGUUUUGAAAUGGAGUUUUGCUUUUGUUGCCCAGGCUGGAGUGCAAUGGUGUGAUCUCGGCUCACUGCAAGC